UUUUUGUACCAUAAUAUUUACUCGAUCAUUUUUAAGUUUUAGCAGAUAUGACUACUAGUACCUCCCAAUUGACAACCCUGUUCAUUGUUGUAGCUUUGGUGUGUGCAUUUGUUCCUGCUUUCUCUGUAGAAGAAGGCGAAGCAAAAACAUUAUGGGAUACAUGCCUUCUUAAAAUCACUCCUAAGUGUGCUUUGGAUAUAAUCGGAGUUGUCUUUGGAAACGGAACCAUCACUGAUGCGUGUUGUCAUGAUCUUGUCGAAGAAGGAAAAGUGUGUCACGACACGCUGAUCAAGUACAUUUCAGAUAGACCCCACCUAGUUGCUAACGAAACCCAAUACUUGAAGAAGAGAGAUGAUUUGUGGAUUCAUUGUGUCUCAGUCACUAAAACUGCUUAAACUGUGUACUGAUUUUAAUAUAUGAUCAAAUAAAUUCUUAAUUUACUUUAAUAAUAUUUUUUUUACCACAAAUACUUUUGUCUCUCUUGCAAUAUAAACAAAUUUGUGAAAGAGUAUAUCUUUGCAGACUGAUUUCUAAAAUGCAUAAUUAUCUACUCAUUUUUAAAACUAAAAAUUUGUUCACUAAGAUAUCUCCAAAAUUAUCCGAAAGUUGAGUACUGAGAGUUGCAACCAAUAUUGUUGGCUGAGCUUUAAUUUUCGACUAAAAUGUAUGUCUUAGAUCUCUUACAAGUUUUCUUAUAAACACUGAUUUUAAACUUAUGUUGAAAAUGUGAAGAACAAAAAGAAAUCGAAUAUACUAUAUAUUCAUCGAUUACUUCGAAAUCAUAUAUAAAAUAUCUUACAAAAACAUUAUCUUUUCAAUUAAAAAUUUUUGUUCUCUACUCAGCAUAAAGUUUUUUUUAUAGGUUGAGAAAAGUCCAUAUAUUUUAUAAAAUAAAUCCUUUUUAUGGUAACCUUUGCUAAAGAUCGUUCAUGAAAAGAUCGAUAAGCUUGUAUAUAUAUAUAUAUAUAUAAUCGUCAAAAUCAUAUCAUAUGCUUGGAGACAAAAACCGAAUAAUUUGGAUGCUGUGAAUAUUUUAUUGACGAAGCUAUUUAAACAUGAAUAUACUAUACCAGUUUCAAAAUUUUACUUUUUGGUUAUUUUUAAUGUUAUUUUUUGUUAUUUUUUUAAAACAAAAUUAUUUUGACUUGUAACAUCUGAAGAUUUUCAAUUUUGUUUUCUAAAAAUAUCAUCCAAUUGACAUUGUUUAGUUUUACUUUGUAAUUAUUCAAAUUGUCAAACUUUAUGUCUAUUGACAAGAUAUUUAAGAAUAAAUUUUAAUUAGACAGUUUUUUUUAUUAUCAUUUUAAUAUUUCAAACUUCUCAGCAGUAUAAACCGAAGAUACAAAGUACUAUUUGACAAUGAUUAAUUGUAGUUGUAAGUGUUUAUUCAUCAAUGUUUUUCAAAAAAAAUAUAAAAUGUCUUUUGUAUUCUUAGUAUUCAUAAUCUUAACACCCAAUACUAUGAUAUUGGUGAAGGAUAUUGGUAUUCUCGAAAAAGGCAAAGGUUUAAAAAAUUUUAAAUUUGAUUAUUAAUUUAUUUGUUACUGCAAUCGAAUGGUGUAUAAAUGAUAAUAAGUGUUACAAAAUAGCCAAUAAAUGUCAUUAUUUAAUAAACUAUCUAAAAUAUAGUAGGCAUGUUAUAUAAUUUUCACGAAUAAAUCUUAUAUUACCUUAGCAAAUAUUUAAAUGACACAUGAUUUAAAAUAUUUGUAUAUGUUAUAUGUUAAAUUGCAAACACCAAAUAACUUGAAUAAAAUCAUUUAGUUAAAACAAUAUUUAAGUAUUUGACAUUUCAAUUUAUCACUGACCUAAACUGAUAUUUUUAAAGGAUGACGUGUCUUUCGUUUUUAAGUUAAACAUAAUGAAACUUAUUUAGGUAUAUUAAAAUUAAAGCAUCAUAUUUAUCAUUCUUAAAAUCCAUGUUUAAUUGUAAUUCCGACCGUGAAAUCUUAUCAUCUGAUUUAUAAUGCUAUUAUAACUUAAUUUCUAUGCAUAAGUUUCUUCUCAAAAGUCUAACGAUGUUAGCAUCAUAUUAUUAUUAUUAUGUUAAAUUGUAUUGAUUUACGACGGUUUGUUUAAAAUUUGUUUUGAUAAUUAUGUUUUGGUUAUAAAAACAUAUAAAUAGCUUCCACUAAGACAAUCCAUUCUCAUUAUAUUCUUUUUUGUACCAUAAUAUUUACUCGAUCAUUUUUAAGUUUUAGCAGAUAUGACUACAAGUACCUCCCAAUUGACAACCCUGUUCAUUGUUGUAGCUUUGGUGUGUGCAUUUGUUCCUGCUUUCUCUGUAGAAGAAGGCGAAGCAAAAACAUUAUGGGAUACAUGCCUUCUUAAAAUCACUCCUAAGUGUGCUUUGGAUAU
rnacentral:lncRNA from 1 species